AAGGUGUUGCUUAACGGAGAUUUGAGACCAUCGAAAACCCAAAGGCUCUUUUAAGAGCCACCACAACGUCACUAAAGGGCUGUAAAUUCCUUAUUAGCGCUAGGAAGUUUUUUGGGUGGCCUUGCAGUCAAGAUCUACCGUGUUAAGGGAGCCUGAGAUAGAAGAAUGCUGACAAGUCAAAGCUGGAUGUGAGCAAGACCUCUUUGCUGACCAGCUGAGGAUUGCUUUGAGAGUUGCUAUUGGUAAUCAAGGUGCUUUUGCAGGUGAUUUUAGAUGCUCAGCAAGGUAUUAGGCUAGGAAUGUAGCUUGCCCUUCAGCCAUUCUCCAUGGAUCAACUGGCUCAAAUUAAAAUCAUGGCUUGGAAGAAUAUUCUUAUCAGUCCAAUGGGUAAAAUAGAGGAUAGCUACUGGCAAAUACUUUGUUUCACCCAAAUACAUAAAAAAGUCUGAUGUCAGCAUCUUCCUAGAACAAAAAUAUUUGUAUCUGUCCUACUUGAUAGCUAUUAGUUUCUGAAAAAAUCUGAACAGAUAUAUACCCAUAUUAAGUUUCUCUUUUGAAUUAACUAUUGUAAUGUAAAUAUUUUGUAAAAGUGGUUUCCAUGCAAGCCAGUAUGCAAAGAGAGGUCCUAAACAUGUUUUCAUCUGCAAGUCCCUCUUGUGGGCUUUUUCACAAUCUGAAUCACCUGUUGGUUACAGGCUUCAGUAACCAGCAGCAGUGGAGUUUGAACUUGGGCAGCCACAGAUCUCCUGCAGGCCUGGUCAGAACUGUCCUGCUGCAUCAUUGCCUCUCUCUUCUCUCACACUUUCAAGUCUUGGUGCAUCUUCGAGCUGGGUAUCAGCAUCUGUCAGGUUGUAGUUGUGCAAACUACACAACACUCUGAACAAACUGUCACAACACUCUGAACACUAAUUAAGAUUUCACAUCAUAUAUUAUAAAGUAUUUUGUCAGCUACUCCUAUUAUGGAAUUAAUUGCACUGGCUGUGAUAACAGGGUCUGACCCCAGGAUCCUGCUGAUUAAUGCACUUUUCCAAAUAAAAGGUUUCCAAUUUGUCUUUUUUUAGUUCUCAGGUUACAGCUUGAGCUGGGUGGAUCUGCAGAGAGAGCACUACACCAAAAAUUAACCUUCAAUCCCAUUCAGGCCACCCAGCUCUCAACUCCCAGGUUUGUCAGUAGCUUCUGGUCAAUUGUCUCUUUUGUUGGUUUUGUGGGGGGUUUUGGGAUUUUUUUUGUGGGUUUUUUUAUCUGACAUUACCUCAAUUCUUGGAGUUGUUUCCUUGGUCCUUCCUUACCUUUUUCAUUCUGCUUUGAGCUAGUUGAAUGUUAGCAGCAUUAGAUUUUAAAAAAAGCACUUUUAUUUUGGUCAGCUCUUGUGGCCUAAUGCUGUAAGCACUCCAGCCAUCAAUGCUUAAAUACUUAAUAUAUCAUGAGAAUAUGGAGAAAACAGUUAAUGAAAAUGUCCUGUGCAAUACUGUGAAGUAGCACAGGAUGGAAAGCUCUGUUCUCAGUUAAGUUGUUAUGGCAAUACCAGUUUUUAGUAAUAAAAACAACAAACUGAAGGAACAUUGAUAUAUAUAAGCAAUGCAAACUGAGCUUGAAUUAAACCAGUUUGUACAUUAAAAAUGCAAGCCCGUCUGGCUGGGCGCCUCAGCCCACAGUCUGUGAUGACUGAUAGGGUUCAGCAAAACAAAUCCUGCAGCUCCAGGGACACUGGGGUGGCAAAAGCCAUGCCCCAGCCUUGCUCACUCCACACUGGUUUCAUCUGUGCCACCCAUGGUGCCCUGCAUCUCAGUCUUUUAAAGGUGCUUUUAGGUUUGGCUCCAGAGGCACUGGUGCCACCAAAGACCUGCUGAGGUGAACGUGGCACUGCCCCAAUGUCGCUGUUGGAGCAGAUGCGACACAAAGCAGUUCCGUAAGAAACUUCAUCCAAGAUUUUAUUGUGCCUGUACACAGUGUUUUUAUACCCUUCUGGCCUUAUAGUGCACCCCAUUUAAGUUGCCAUCACCACAUCACCCCUCAAGUCCAUUGGUGGAAGCACUGUUUUGAGAAAGUAUCCCCAAAAAUCCAAAAUACAAUUUUGUUUUUCCUUGGUGUUUUUCUCAGCACAGAUGUUCCUUGUUUUCCUCUAUCUUUAUCUUCUUUUUUUUUUUCUCACACAUACAUAGGAAUUCUGCUGGCUUCUUCUUUCUGUUAACUCUUUCAUCUGCCCCUCAGCCUGCUGUGGACCCUCUCCACACCCCAACACUGCUUUCUCCACACCUUUCUCUUCCAGACCAUCCCUGGUGCUGGGCACCUUGGCCUCAGCCCAAGCCUGCUCUUAGGGAAAGGUUUCGGACUCACAAAACCCACACCUGCAGGGACACUGGGGCAGCAAAGAGCAUUUCAAGGGCAGCAUGGCCCUGCCCCAACACUGCUUCCUCCUCACCUUUCUCAUCUGGGUCACCUGUGGUGCUUUCUCAAGUCUACAUGUAUUGACAAUGUUCAGUUCCAUAUCUGUUUCCCAGUCCUUCAUGUUCUUUUACCCUCAAACACUGUGAGGUUUUGCUACUCCAUUAACAUGAAGAUGCUUUUUUAAUGGGCUUGAUCACUUUGUCUUUACACAUCAACCACGUCUGUACUCUGUGGUGCUGUCCUCUGUUCUCAUGUGGAGCUUAAUGUAAUUGAGAUAUUAAAAUACCAAAUUCUAUA